AGACCCCGUGAACCUUUACUAUAGCUUGACACUGAACAUUGAGCCUUGAUGUGUAGGAUAGGUGGGAGGCUUUGAAGUGUGGACGCCAGUCUGCAUGGAGCCGACCUUGAAAUACCACCCUUUAAUGUUUGAUGUUCUAACGUGGACCCGUUACCCGGGUUGCGGACAGUGUCUGGUGGGUAGUUUGACUGGGGCGGUCUCCUCCUAAAGAGUAACGGAGGAGCACGAA
rnacentral:rRNA from 1 species